rnacentral:rRNA from 1 species
UAAUACAGAGGGGGCAAGCGUUAUUCGGAAUUACUGGGCGUAAAGGGCGCGUAGGCGGUUGUUUAAGUCAGAUGUGUAAUCCCCGGGCUCAACCUGGGAACUGCAUCUGAGACUGGAGAGCUAGAGUGCUGGAGAGGGUGGUAGAAUUCCACGUGUAGCGGUGAAAUGCGUAGAGAUGUGGAGGAAUACCAGUGGCGAAGGCGGCCACCUGGACAGCAACUGACGCUGAGGCGCGAAAGUGUGGGUAGCAAACAGG